AUUCGUCCAAUUGAAAUAGAGGACAGUGGCGGACGGGUGAGUAACGCGUGAGGAACCUGCCUUUCAGAGGGGGACAACAGUUGGAAACGACUGCUAAUACCGCAUAACACGUAGGAGUCGCAUGGCUCCAACGUCAAAGAUUUAUCGCUUCAAGAUGGCCUCGCGUCUGAUUAGCUGGUUGGCGGGGUAACGGCCCACCAAGGCGACGAUCAGUAGCCGGUCUGAGAGGAUGAACGGCCACACUGGAACUGAGACACGGUCCAGACUCC
rnacentral:rRNA from 1 species